GCAAGUCGAGCGAACGGACGAGAAGCUUGCUUCUCUGAUGUUAGCGGCGGACGGGUGAGUAACACGUGGAUAACCUACCUAUAAGACUGGGAUAACUUCGGGAAACCGGAGCUAAUACCGGAUAAUAUUUUGAACCGCAUGGUUCAAAAGUGAAAGACGGUCUUGCUGUCACUUAUAGAUGGAUCUGCGCUGCAUUAGCUAGUUGGUAAGGUAACGGCUUACCAAGGCAACGAUGCAUAGCCGACCUGAGAGGGUGAUCGGCCACACUGGAACUGAGACACGGUCCAGACUCCUACGGGAGGCAGCAGUAGGGAAUCUUCCGCAAUGGGCGAAAGCCUGACGGAGCAACGCCGCGUGAGUGAUGAAGGUCUUCGGAUCGUAAAACUCUGUUAUUAGGGAAGAACAUAUGUGUAAGUAACUGUGCACAUCUUGACGGUAUCUAAUCAGAAAGCCACGGCUAACUACGUGCCAGCAGCCGCGGUAAUACGUAGGUGGCAAGCGUUAUCCGGAAUUAUUGGGCGUAAAGCGCGCGUAGGCGGUUUUUUAAGUCUGAUGUGAAAGCCCACGGCUCAACCGUGGAGGGUCAUUGGAAACUGGAAAACUUGAGUGCAGAAGAGGAAAGUGGAAUUCCAUGUGUAGCGGUGAAAUGCGCAGAGAUAUGGAGGAACACCAGUGGCGAAGGCGACUUUCUGGUCUGUAACUGACGCUGAUGUGCGAAAG
rnacentral:rRNA from 1 species